rfam:Bombyx mori DNA, contig: Bm_scaf1_contig869, strain: p50T/Dazao, build 2, whole genome shotgun sequence.
UUAACUCAAAAAUGUAUGGAAUUGGAACGUUUGCCUACGUUUGCCGCUAGGGGCGCUGUUCCAACUGCAUACAUAUUUCAGUUA